rnacentral:rRNA from 1 species
UACGGAGGGUGCAAGCGUUGUCCGGAUUUAUUGGGUUUAAAGGGUGCGUAGGCGGUUCUUUAAGUCUGGGGUGAAAGCCCGUUGCUCAACAACGGAACUGCCCUGGAAACUGGAGGACUUGAGUACAGACGAGGGUGGCGGAAUGGACGGUGUAGCGGUGAAAUGCAUAGAUACCGUCCAGAACCCCAAUUGCGUAGGCAGCUGCCUAGGCUACAUCUGACACUGAGGCACGAAAGCGUGGGGAGCAAACAGG